AUUGAACGCUGGCGGCAGGCCUAACACAUGCAAGUCGAGCGGAUGAAGAGAGCUUGCUCUCUGAUUCAGCGGCGGACGGGUGAGUAAUGCCUAGGAAUCUGCCUGGUAGUGGGGGACAACGUUUCGAAAGGAACGCUAAUACCGCAUACGUCCUACGGGAGAAAGUGGGGGAUCUUCGGACCUCACGCUAUCAGAUGAGCCUAGGUACGAUUAGCUAGUUGGUGAGGUAAAGGCUCACCAAGGCGACGAUCGUUAACUGGUCUGAGAGGAUGAUCAGUCACACUGGAACUGAGGCACGGUCCAGACUCCUACGGGAGGCAGCAGUGGGGAAUAUUGGACAAUGGGCGAAAGUCUGAUCCAGCCAUGCCGCGUGUGUGAAGAAGGUCUUCGGAUUGUAAAGCACUUUAAGUUGGGAGGAAGGGCAGUAAGUUAAUACCUUGCUGUUUUGACGUUACCGACAGAAUAAGCACCGGCUAACUUCGUGCCAGCAGCCGCCGUAACAC
rnacentral:rRNA from 1 species